rnacentral:tRNA from 1 species
GGUGUCGUGGCUGAGGGGUAGAGCGCUCACCUAGCAUGUGUGAGGCCCUGGGUUCGAUCCUCAGCACCA